rnacentral:rRNA from 1 species
AGAGUUUGAUCAUGGCUCAGGAUGAACGCUAGCUACAGGCUUAACACAUGCAAGUCGAGGGGAAACGACAUCGAAAGCUUGCUUUUGAUGGGCGUCGACCGGCGCACGGGUGAGUAACGCGUAUCCAACCUGCCCAUCACUUGGGGAUAACCUUGCGAAAGUAAGACUAAUACCCAAUGAUAUCUCUAGAAGGCAUCUGAAAGAGAUUAAAGAUUUAUCGGUGAUGGAUGGGGAUGCGUCUGAUUAGCUUGUUGGCGGGGUAACGCCACCAAGCAACGAUCAGUAGGGGUUCUGAGAGGAAGUCCCCCANAUUGGAACUGAGACACGGUACCAAACUCCGUACGGGAGGCA